AGAAAAAAAAUAGUCAGAAUCUCACUUCAUUAUGAAAGAGGUCAAUGAAACAAAGUAUAGCAAUACACUAACCAAAACAUGAUUAAGAGUUAUUCAACGCUAAAUAAAACGUUGACAAAAUACCACUUUAUUUAGAAACGAUUAUUAUUAUCUUUAACAAUACGCUAUCCAAAACAUGAUUAAGAUUUAUUCAACACAAAAAAAAAAAUGCUGUCUCACUUUAUUUUGAGACAAUGACAACAAUUAUACUUAUAAGAAAACACUUGCUUACAGAGUUAUUAAACACAAAACCAAUUAAGAUUAGUUGCGAACAUGUAGGGUGUGAAAGUGAAAGGGGGCGAACAUGAGUUGGUGCAAACGUGAAUGGCGCGAACGGACCCGG
rnacentral:lncRNA from 1 species